UAUGGAUCCUAACACACAUAUUUAGUCAUUAAUGCUACAUGAGACAAGGCAUUGCACUGCAAUUCUACACAAUAGCCUAAUAAUGACUCAUGGAUUUAUUUAAGAACUGGUAUUACUACUUUUUUGUCUCAUUGUUCACACUCAUUGUUGACCCACACAAUUCACCUCAGAGAACAGACUUAAUAUUGGGCAUUUUAAUUCAUGCUUUUGUUCAGAAACAUUUCAACAGACGUAGGAUUUUACUUCAUUUAUGCACAUGUAUGAUACCGAGCAUCAUUAGCUGAUGUUCAUGCUGUGAUGCUCCUCCUUGCCACAAGAUGGCGAUAUACAGCAGCUUCAUGCUGUCACAUUGAGCGCUGAAACUCGAAUGAAGAUGGUGGCUGUCAGUGAGGAAAAGGUGAAAAUCCCAUUUGGAUCCAAAGAGCUGGAAGGUGCUCUCACGGUUCCUGAAACAGAGUGUGUACAGUCAGCUCUGAUCCUUACACACGGAGCAGGGGGAGAUAUGAACCUGAAGCCAUUAAUGUCAUUGGCACAAGCCGUCUCCACUUCUGGUUUGCUCUGCCUUCGAUUCACAUGCAAAAGCCUGAACCUGGCGCACAGAGUGAGGGCCUAUGAAGCAGCCAUGGUGUACUUGAAAUCCCUUGAUAGAUUUACACUGAGUAACAUUUUCCUUGGGGGACGUUCGAUGGGAGCUCGCGCUGCUGUGGCUCUGGGCAGACAUUUGUGUUUCAAGGAAGAAGUUAAUGUCCAAGGUCUGUUGUGUGUGUCCUUCCCCCUUCAUCCUCCUGGCCAAACACAUGCUCAUGUUAAACGUAGUGAGGACCUGAGAGCGCUUUCCCACAUUCCUGUACUCUUUGUAUCCGGGACUGCAGACAACAUGUGUGAACGACAACUUCUGGAACAUGUUGUGGAGCAGAUGGAGAGCCCAAGUUCUGUGCAUUGGGUGGAGGGAGCCAAUCAUGGACUGGCAGUGAAAGGGAGAACUGAGGAGUCUGUGCUGGAUGAGGUCAACUCACAAAUCAUCACAUGGAUUCUAAAACAUGUCUGAAGACGGAUGCUAUACUGAUAUGACCAGUCCAAUAUCGGACUCUCUGCAACUCCAAUAUCGGAGGCAGAAGUGGCCUCUUCAUAGUGAGCUGAACCAAAUCAUCUGAUUCAGUGAAAAGAGUUGGAAUCCCAUCACUACUGAUUCUCACAAGCAGUCCCUGAGGUGAAUCAUCCAUUCAUCCACCCAUCCAUC